rnacentral:rRNA from 1 species
GAGUUUGAUCCUGGCUCAGAUUGAACGCUGGCGGCAUGCCUUACACAUGCAAGUCGAACGGCAGCACGGGAGCUUGCUCCUGGUGGCGAGUGGCGAACGGGUGAGUAAUGCAUCGGAACGUAUCCUGGAGUGGGGGGAUAACGUAGCGAAAGUUACGCUAAUACCGCAUAUUCUGUGAGCAGGAAAGCGGGGGACCUUCGGGCCUCGCGCUCUUGGAGCGGCCGAUGUCGGAUUAGCUAGUUGGUGAGGUAAAGGCUCACCAAGGCGACGAUCCGUAGCAGGUCUGAGAGGAUGAUCUGCCACACUGGAACUGAGACACGGUCCAGACUCCUACGGGAGGCAGCAGUGGGAUUUUGGACAAUGGGGGCAACCCUGAUCCAGCCAUGCCGCGUGAGUGAAGAAGGCCU